UACAGAGGGUGCAAGCGUUAAUCGGAAUUACUGGGCGUAAAGCGCGCGUAGACGGUUAUGCAGGUCGGGUGUGAAAGCCCCGGGCUCAACCUGGGAAUGCCAUUCGAGACUGCAUAGCUAGAGUGCGGAAGAGGGAAGCGGAAUUUCCGGUGUAGCGGUGAAAUGCGUAGAUAUCGGAAGGAACACCAGUGGCGAAAGCGGCUUCCUGGUCCAGCACCGACGUUCAGGCACGAAAGCGUGGGGAGCAAACAGG
rnacentral:rRNA from 1 species